rnacentral:rRNA from 1 species
UGGCAGCAGUGGGGAAUAUUGCGCAAUGGGCGAAAGCCUGACGCAGCGACGCCGCGUGGGUGAGGAAGGCCUUCGGGUUGUAAAACCCUGUCAGGGGGGACGAAGCGAAAGUGACGGUACCCCCAGAGGAAGCCCCGGCCAACUACGUGCCAGCAGCCGCGGUAAUACGUAGGGGGCAAGCGUUGUCCGGAAUCAUUGGGCGUAAAGAGCACGUAGGCGGCCUGUCAAGUCAGGUGUGAAAACCCGCGGCUCAACUGCGGGACUGCACUUGAAACUGGUAGGCUGGAGUCCGGUAGAGGAAAGUGGAAUUCCCAGUGUAGCGGUGAAAUGCGCAGAUAUUGGGAAGAACACCGGUGGCGAAGGCGGCUUUCUGGGCCGAGACUGACGCUGAGGUGCGAAAGCUAGGGGAGCGAACAGGAUUAGAUACCCCUGUAGUC